UACGGAGGAUGCAAGCGUUAUCCGGAUUCAUUGGGUUUAAAUGGUGCGUAGGCGGACCAUUAAGUCAGUGGUGAAAGCCUGCAGCUUAACUGCAGAACUGCCAUUGAUACUGGGGAGCUAGGAUUUGGUUGCUGUGGGUGGAAUGUGUGGUGUAGCGGUGAAAUGCUUAGAGAUCACACAGAAUAUCGAUCGCGAAGGCAGCUCACAAAGCCAAGAUUGACGCUGAGGCACGAAAGUGUGGGGA
rnacentral:rRNA from 1 species